GUUGUAAACUCUCAAAGCAAACAACUCCCAGGUGUUGAUGCUCUGCCGAUGACACACACACACACACACCCCUCCCGUCCUUCCAGCAUGACUGCACACAGACCCCACCCUAAGGACAGAGUCAGCCUGAACAUCACCACAAAACGGAACAAUAAAACCAACGAGAAUUUUCUUUCACACCAUCAGCACACUUCAGUGGAUCCUCCCUGCUCACACUGCUGAGAACAGUGCAUUGAAUGAGCCCCUCAUCCACCUCCCCUAUCGAAUGGGUUUUUCACCUGCAUGCCCACAGUUGUUUCCUGAGGUUUCUGAACACACCCUGUCUGGUAGCCGGGUGACGAAGCUAGGCGGGAGAUCUCUCAAUUACCCGCACCUGCAUCUCAUCAGCCAUCUGCACACCUGGUCCUGAUCAUCACCUCUUCUCUUCAUAAGCUCUGACCUGACAUCCAUUCCCCGCUGGAUCGUUAGCAAUGAACAUCAUUCUCCCGGAACAUUCACCCACCCGCCUGGUCGUCGGUGGCUUCUGUGACAUCAUUGGAUCUGCCUAUUCACUCUCAUCAACUCACCUCUGCUGCCGCUCCGUCUCCUGGAUUAUUCUGUUUUCACCUUGACUCUCGGAUACUGCUGUUGAAGGGGUGACGCGCAGCAUCCUCUCUACAAUAAUGAAC
rnacentral:lncRNA from 1 species